rnacentral:lncRNA from 10 species
CGGCGGCGGCGGUGAAGGGAGGCGGAGACUCGGCCGAGACGCGGGGGGAGUGAGAUCGGGAGGCGUUUGGCUUGGAGCCAUUUUUUUUUCUUAAUUGUGGAGACAGAAAAUCCCUGAAAACGGUUUCCCCAGGGAGACUGGGCUGCGCUCCUCCUCUUCCUCCCCGGCGUCGGGCCCGAGCGGCUUCCCCGGCCGCGCCGCCACCUCCCCUGCCGGACCAGUCUCCCCAGCCCGCCUGCCCCACCUUCCGCGAAGCCCCCGGGCGAGCCGGGUGACUGCAGAGCGGGCCGGGUCACCUGUCGUGGCAGCUGCAUGGAAAUCCCGGCGCUUCUGCUGUCUGGAGUCUGUGCUGUUUCCUCUGGCAAAUCACGGAGAUUCUGUUCCGAGCACCAACCCUUCCUCUUUGCCAUGCGCUCCACAACGCAGAGCAGGACGCCGAUUCCGAAGUUUGACCCGCUUGGGGCAAUUAGCUGGGAGGUGUCUACUUCUUCCUGUGGCGACACCGCUUCAGGGAUGGGAAGGUGAGGGUGGUCUGGCUUUGUGGAAGGAAACGAGGGUGACACAGCCCUCUCCGAGGUUGAGGUCCGUUAGGGUCCUAAUUCCUUCUACCUGCUGAACUGCCCUUGUCAUCAGAAAGU